rnacentral:rRNA from 1 species
CUCUCAACGAUGGAUGCCUCGGCUCGAGAAUCGAUGAAGGACGCAGCGAAGUGCGAUAAGCACUGCGAUUUGCAGAAUUCCGUGAACCAGUAGAAAUCCCAACGCAUACUGCACAAAGGGGAUUUAUCCUCUUUGUACAUACAUAUCAGUGUCGCUC